rnacentral:rRNA from 1 species
CCCUUAGAUGUCCUGGGCCGCACGCGCGCUACACUGAUGCAUUCAACGAGUCUAAAACCUGGUCUGAUAGGGCUGGGUAAUCUUUUGAAAGUGCAUCGUGAUUGGGAUAGAUGAUUGCAAUUCUUCAUCUUCAACGAGGAAUGCCUAGUAAACGCAAGUCAUCAGCUUGCAUUGAUUACGUCCCUGCCCUUUGUACACACCGCCCGUCGCUCCUACCGAUUGAAUGAUCCGAUGAAUACCAUGGAUUGAGAGUACGAAUAGGUUCGCUUAUUUCUGCUGCUCGAGAAGUGGAGUAAAUCUUAUCAUUUAGAGGAAGGAGAAGUCGUAACA